UACGGGGGGGCAAGCGUUGUUCGGAAUUACUGGGCGUAAAGGGUGCGUAGGCGGUCCGCUAAGUUGGAUGUGAAAACUCUGGGCUUAACCCAGAGCCUGCAUUCAAAACUGACGGGCUAGAGUUCUGGAGGGGGUAGCGGAAUUCCUGGUGUAGCGGUGAAAUGCGUAGAUAUCAGGAGGAACACCGGUGGCGAAGGCGGUUGGCUGGGCCGUGGCCUGACGCUGAGGCGCGGACAGCGUGGG
rnacentral:rRNA from 1 species